UGCAUUCACUACUGUAAGUUGCUCUGGAUAGUCACCAUGUAAAUGGAUAAGAGCAUCUGCUAAAUGACUGAAA
rfam:Salmo salar isolate Sally breed double haploid chromosome ssa23, whole genome shotgun sequence.